rnacentral:lncRNA from 1 species
GAGAAUAGAAAAAGCCGUACCGUCGUCGAGAUGUUUUCCUCUUUUUAUCCGAUGAUACUUGGGAUAAGUUUUUCUUCAUAUAUUUUUUUUUCGACUGAUCCGACUAAUCUUCUACUUUCAGUUGGCACUUGACAUGUUCAACUUGGAAGUCAGCUACCGAAAGGUUGUAGACUUUCGUCAGACAUAAAUGGAUAAAGUGGCAGCUGUCAAUGCUGAGAAGGCAGCUGCUUGUGAACAACUUCGGGCGGC